ACGCUGGCGGCAGGCCUAACACAUGCAAGUCGAGCGGCAGCACGGGUACUUGUACCUGGUGGCGAGCGGCGGACGGGUGAGUAAUGCCUAGGAAUCUGCCUGGUAGUGGGGGAUAACGCUCGGAAACGGACGCUAAUACCGCAUACGUCCUACGGGAGAAAGCAGGGGACCUUCGGGCCUUGCGCUAUCAGAUGAGCCUAGGUCGGAUUAGCUAGUUGGUGGGGUAAUGGCUCACCAAGGCGACGAUCCGUAACUGGUCUGAGAGGAUGAUCAGUCACACUGGAACUGAGACACGGUCCAGACUCCUACGGGAGGCAGCAGUGGGGAAUAUUGGACAAUGGGCGAAAGCCUGAUCCAGCCAUGCCGCGUGUGUGAAGAAGGUCUUCGGAUUGUAAAGCACUUUAAGUUGGGAGGAAGGGCAGUUACCUAAUACGUAUCUGUUUUGACGUUACCGACAGAAUAAGCACCGGCUAACUCUGUGCCAGCAGCCGCGGUAAUACAGAGGGUGCAAGCGUUAAUCGGAAUUACUGGGCGUAAAGCGCGCGUAGGUGGUUUGUUAAGUUGAAUGUGAAAUCCCCGGGCUCAACCUGGGAACUGCAUGCAAAACUGGCAAGCUAGAGUAUGGUAGAGGGUGGUGGAAUUUCCUGUGUAGCGGUGAAAUGCGUAGAUAUAGGAAGGAACACCAGUGGCGAAGGCGACCACCUGGACUGAUACUGACACUGAGGUGCGAAAGCGUGGGGGGCAAAC
rnacentral:rRNA from 1 species